AGGCCCUACGGGACGCAGCAGUGAGGAAUAUUGGUCAAUGGACGAAAGUCUGAACCAGCCAUGCCGCGUGCAGGAAGACGGCUCUAUGAGUUGUAAACUGCUUUUGUACAAGGGUAAACCUGAAUACGUGUAUUCAGCUGAAAGUACUGUACGAAUAAGGAUCGGCUAACUCCGUGCCAGCAGCCGCGGUAAUACGGAGGAUCCAAGCGUUAUCCGGAUUUAUUGGGUUUAAAGGGUGCGUAGGCGGGUUGAUAAGUUAGAGGUGAAAUGUCCGGGCUCAACUCGGGAAAUGCCUCUAAUACUGU
rnacentral:rRNA from 1 species